AUUGAACGCUGGCGGCCGGCCUAACACAUGCAAGUCGAACGAGUGGCGGACGGGUGAGUAAUGUCUGGGAAACUGCCUGAUGGAGGGGGAUAACUACUGGAAACGGUCGCUACUACCGCAUACCAUCGGAUGUGCCCAUAUGGGAUUAGCUAGUAGGUGGGGUAAAGGCUCACCUAGGCGACGAUCCCUAGCUGGUCUGAGAGGAUGACCAGCCACACUGGAACUGAGACACGGUCAAGACUCCGACGUGAGGCAGAAGUGGGGAAUAUUGCACAAUGGGCGAAAGCCUGAUGCAGCCAUGCCGCGUGUAUGAAGAAGGCCUUCGGGUUGUAAAGUACUUUCAGCGGGGAGGCGUUACCCGCAGAAGAAGCACCGGCUAACUACGUGCCAGCAGCCGCGGUAAUUC
rnacentral:rRNA from 1 species